rnacentral:rRNA from 1 species
UACGUAGGGAGGCGAGCGUUGUCCGGAAUUACUGGGCGUAAAGAGCGCGUAGGCGGCGCUGUACGACCGCUGUGAAAGCCCCCGGCUCAACUGGGGAGGGUCAGCGGUAACGGCAGUGCUACGAGUGCAGGAGAGGGAAGUGGAACUCCGGGAGUAGCGGUGAAAGUGCGUAGAUACCCGGAGGGAACACCAGUGGCGAAGGCGG